rnacentral:rRNA from 1 species
ACACAUGCAAGUCGAGCGGAGCCGGGAGCUUGCUCCUUGAUUCACCGGCGGACGGGUGAGUAAGGCCUAUGAAUCUGCCUGGUAGUGGGGGACAACGUUUCGAAAGGAACGCUAAUACCGCAUACGUCCUACGGCAGAAAGCAGGGGACCUUCAGGCCUUGCCCUAUCACAUGAGCCUAGGUCGGAUUAGCUAGUUGGUGGGGUAAUGGCUCACCAAGGCGACGAUCCCUAACUGGUCUGAGAGGAAGAUCAGUCACACUGGAACUGAAACACAGUCCAGACUCCUACGGGAGGCAGCAGUGGGGAAUAUUGAACAAUGGGCGAAAGCCUGAUCCAGCCAUGCCGCGUGUGUGAAGAAGGUCUUCGGAUUGUAAAGCACUUUAAGUUGGGAGGAAGGGGAGGGAGUUAAUACCUUGCUGUUUUGACGUUACCGACAGAAUAAGCACCGGCUAACUCCGUGCCGGGCAGCCAAAGCCAC